UAGAUGGAAAACAAAAUUUGUGUUUAGUUUCGACCUAAAAUAUUGGUGCUGGCCCACCUCCAUCU
rnacentral:tRNA from 1 species